UUUUUUAACACAUUCCCCCACCUAAACCUAGCCCCCUCCCUAAAUACAACCCAGAAGUAGUAGAUAGAAAAAGGAAAGAAGGAAAAGGGAGAAAGGAGAUAACUCAAGAACGAAGAAGAGAACAGACCGCACCAUGUCCUGCUGCUUCGCCGCCGUCGCCAUCCAUGUCGCACGCGAGAGAGCCAUCGAGCUCAAGGGUGAAAGACGCAUGUGAGAGAGGGAGGAACCGCGCUACUGCCGCCAUCCAGCCCACCUUGCCAUUGUCGCCAUUGUCGUCGUCACCUCAAGCUCGUCGCCCUUUGUCCCCGUCGCAAGCUCGUCUUCCUGCUUCGGCCAUCAACUCCUCUUUCGCCGUGAGUUGGUCUCUGGACAGGUGAAACAUUACAAGAUGAGUAAACAAAUUGAGGUGAAUUGUUGGUGCUGAUGGUGCUCAGAUCCCUCAGAAGCUAAUAUCUAUAAGUUAUAAAAUUGAGUUGAGCUUGCUUUUUUCUUUUCUUGUGUCCUGCUUUAUUUUAGUGGAAAGGAUAAUAAACCACGCGUCAUAUUUAUUAUUUUUAUUACACACAGCAUUGUAUUCUGUUUUUGCUGAUAAUUGCAUUUAACUUAUGACAGUUAUAUGUGCCUGUUAAUAAAUAUGGUCAAUUUUAUAUAUGUGUUAUGUAUGUUAUGGAUGCAAGCUUUUUCAUAUAUAGUGCUGAAUGGGAGUUAUGUAUGCAAGCUUUUAUAUGUAUUAUGUAUAUUAUGGAUGCAAGCCUUCUCUUAUAUAAUAUGGCCAAUUUUAUAGAGCUUCAAUUUAAAUAAGGGCAAAUUACAUUGACCCACUCUCCUUGCAGUUUUGGAAAUUAGUAGUUGCUCCUUUUUGGUUUCACUUUUACAUAUAUAAUGCUGAAUGGGAGUGGGAGCCGGGUAUUUGUAUGUCAUUUUUUUAUUUUUAUUUUUUCAUUUUUCUUUUUUAAGGCAUAUUUGGUGGAAAUUCAAUAUAAAGAAAGUUAUAAUUUAUGAAACAAGACUAGUCAAUGUUAUUUCAUCAAAAAUUAAUUGGCAAUUUGGCAUAAUUUAUCUUAGAUUGGCAUUGAACCUACUUCUUUGUAUGGUAUUUUUAAUGGGGUAACUUUUCUCUUUUCAUAGUGAUGUAAUGUUGUGUUAGCAUAAAAAAAAAUUUGUUAUCAUUUUUUAUACAAUUUAUCAUCUCUUGUCUGCGAUCUAUCUUCUUUUUUUUCUUUUUCGGAUAUGUCUCAUGGUCUCUCCACAAUAAGGUAUAUCCUUGGUCUAUAUAGGUCCUUUACAGAGAGAGAUGCUUUAGCGUGCUUCAUUUUCAUUAAUGUCACUUCUUUAUUUGCAUUAAAGCUAGGCUUGUAUGAUUUCCAAUUAAACUGUAAGAAUUAGUGAGUAAAAUAUUAUUAUUUAUUUAU